rnacentral:misc_RNA from 1 species
AAAGUCGUAACAAGGUUUCCGUAGGUGAACCUGCGGAAGGAUCAUUAUUGAAUUUUAAAAGGAUGUGCUGGCUUCCUCCUCAGGGGGGCGCACGUGCACUCCUAACAAAACUUCGAUAUCCACCUGUGCACCCCUCGGUAGGCAAACGGAAGACUUUUACGGUCUUUCUUUUGUCUAUGUUCUCUUUUAUAUCAAACACUUGACUUCUUUGAAUGUUCAUUAUACAAUAGAAUGGCUAUUGUCAUACAACUUUCAACAAUGGAUCUCUUGGUUCUC